GUUACUGGCUCAGUCGGGAGAUCAUGAAAUUCUUAAUCUUAGGGCUGUGGGUUCAAUCCCCGUGUUGGACA